rnacentral:misc_RNA from 1 species
AGCAGCCGCGGUAAUUCCAGCUCCAAUAGCGUAUAUUAAAGUUGUUGCAGUUAAAAAGCUCGUAGUUGAAUUUCGAGAUCAAAUUGUUGGUCGUGCCUUGGUACGCACUGGCAUUAUUGGUUUCUCCCUUCUGACGAACCAUGAUGUCAUUAAUUUGGUGUCUUGGGGAAUCAGGACUGUUACUUUGAAAAAAUUUAGAGUGUUUAAAGCAGGCUUACGCUUGAAUACAUUAGCAUGGAAUAAUGAAAUAGGACGUUUGAUUCUAUUUUGUUGGUUUCUAGGAUCGACGUAAUGAUUAAUAGGGAUAGUUGGGGGGCAUUAGUAUUCAAUUGUCAGAGGUGAAAUUCUUGGAUUUAUUGAAGACUAACUACUGCGAAAGCAUUUGCCAAGGAUGUUUUCAUUAAUCAAGAACGAAAGUUAGGGGAUCGAAGACGAUCAGAUACCGUCGUAGUCUUAACCAUAAACUAUGCCGACUAGGGAUCGGAUGAUGUUAAUUUUUUUAAUGACUCAUUCGGCGCCU